GGGCGCUUAGCUCAGUUGGUUAGAGCGUCUGGUCUACACCCAGAAGGUUCAGAGGUUCGACCCCUCUAGCGCCCACCA
rnacentral:tRNA from 1 species